rnacentral:rRNA from 1 species
AUCAACUUUCGAUGUUAGGAUAGAGGCCUACCAUGGUGGUAACGGGUAACGGGGUGUUAGGGCACGACACCGGAGAGGGAGCCUGAGAAACGGCUACCACAUCCAAGGAUGGCAGCAGGCGCGCAAAUUACCCAAUCCCGACACGGGGAGGUAGUGACAAUAAAUAACAAUACGGGGUCCUUUCGGGUUUCGUAAUUGGAAUGAGUACAAUUUAAAUCUCUUAACGAGGAACAAUUGGAGGGCAAGUCUGGUGCCAGCAGCCGCGGUAAUUCCAGCUCCAAUAGCGUAUAUUAAAGUUGUUGCAGUUAAAAAGCUCGUAGUUGAAUUUCGGGAUUAGUACGUUGGUCGUGCCUUCGGUACGUACUGGUGUUACUGAUUCCUACCUUCUGACGAACCAUCAUGUCAUUAAUUUGGUGUGGUGGGGAAUCAGGACUGUUACUUUGAAAAAAUUAGAGUGUUUAAAGCAGGCUCGCGCUUGAAUACAUUAGCAUGGAAUAAUGAAAUAGGACGUUGACCCUAUUUUGUUGGUUUCUAGGAUUGACGUAAUGAUUAAUAGGGAUAGUUGGGGGCAUUAGUAUUCAAUUGUCAGAGGUGAAAUUCUUGGAUUUAUUGAAGACUAACUACUGCGAAAGCAUUUGCCAAGGAUGUUUUCAUUAAUCAAGAACGAAAGUUAGGGGAUCGAAGACGAUCAGAUACCGUCGUAGUCUUAACCAUAAACUAUGCCGACUAGGGAUCGGAUGAUGUUAAUUUUUUAAUGACUCAUUCGGCGCCUUACGGGAAACCAAAGUGUUUGGGUUC